rnacentral:lncRNA from 1 species
GAACUGCUUAAGGAUGUGCUGGGUUCUUAAAUGAAAUCUCUUGGAUUAUUUGCUCUGAUACCAUUAGAAGUGCUGGAUUCGGUGCAGGAUUAGGGGUGAAUCUGAUGUCUACAAGGCAGAAGGUCAGAGACACUUAUAAACUGCAAUACAAGUAUUCAGGUUUCUUCGUUGUCAGCUAAACAGAUCCAAAAUUCAUUAUAGGACCAAAGGGGCCAUUACCUCUACUGAACCUGUAUUCAGUCAAAAAAGUACAGUUCAAUAGGUGUCAUAAAUACAAAUCUUACACUUUUUUUUUUUUUUUUUUUAUUCAGUGUACUAAAGAAAUUUCUUCACCAUCUACCACACUGCGAGGAGUAAUGAGCCAAAUUCUGAUUUCACUUCCACCCAUGUAAGCCCUGAGCUGGCAAAGGAGACUCCUCAGGAUUUACAAGCUGGUAAAAUGAGCUCAGGAUACGGCCCAGUAUACUGCAUGAGUUACCUUUUGCUGUUAGUCCUUGGGCAUAGACAUGUGAAGUACCAAACAAGCUGGUAGAAUAUGACCUGACAAUUCAGCAGGGUGUCAUUGGAUGUCUGAGACAACCACAUCAGGCUGGCAGAUAUGACCUGCCUCUUCUGAAGAUAAAGCUGGAGGCCAGCCAGGAAACUGUAAAGCAGCUACCAUGGCACUAGGCAUCAAUAGUUAGUCAGCUGAACUGAGCCUGAGGCGUCCAAGUUCUCGCUGUAUUUAGCAGAGAUCUACUCGGUACAGUCACCAGAGUCUGGAGGGUGAUUCAAGUUGCCUUACGAUAGACAGCUAGUGGCUAAGCAGCCAAGUUGCUCACUAGAUUUCGAUGAGUGCAUUAACUAGAUCUCCACUAACUCUAAUGUGAGUCUAGAUACCUAGCUUGCGUGUAGAUGGGUAUACGUGGGCACAUGGAGUGUCCUAAUCUCAAAUGGAUUCCUAAGCCUAGGGCUCAACACAGCUGCCUAAACAUUUAGUGUUGUUUCAGACAACCAAGACAUCUAACCACUUUUCAAGGAAAGUAAGGGUCUACUGUACAUUCUGCAUUACAAUUCUGAUUGUUAAGGGAUGUUUUAGACAUGUUUUGGCAUAUCAUCUGUCACUAAGAGGAUAAAUUCAGACAACUGAAUUAGAGUCCGUAACUCCUUCCCUUCCUUCCAUAAAGCCUUCAGCAUGUGCCCCUGCAUUCCAGAUUGCAACGACCCCAGCCUCUAAUAAGAGCUAAGCAUGCUUAAGGUAAUAUUGUAUGCAGAAAUGGACAAUUAAUUAACCAACUGCACAUCCAGUCUGGAUGUUGGGAAAACUCAACUCACUGGAGCCUUUAGCCAACGGCAGUCUCCAUCCUCCCUGUCUCAUCAUCCAUCACCACACUCAUUUAGUGCCUUUUUAAAUCUUUCCUGCCCAUGACUGCAUUUACAAAAUAGAUUAUCAGGGGCAACCAACCUCAGACUGCCCAGAAGAGGGUCAGAUUAAUAACUGGGAGGGGGUGCUCCCAAACUGUCAAGGGCAAUCAGAAUUAAUGCUUGACAGGAAAUAAAACCAAGCAGAUGAAAGCCA